GACGAAGGGGGCUAGCGUUGUUCGGAAUUACUGGGCGUAAAGCGCGCGUAGGCGGACCUGCAAGUCGGGGGUGAAAGCCCGAGGCUCAACCUCGGAACUGCCUUCGAUACUGCGGGUCUCGAGUCCGGGAGAGGUGAGUGGAAUUCCUAGUGUAGAGGUGAAAUUCGUAGAUAUUAGGAAGAACACCAGUGGCGAAGGCGGCUCACUGGCCCGAUACUGACCGCUGGAGGCAACGAAAGCGUGGGGAGC
rnacentral:rRNA from 1 species